GACAGAGGGUGCAAACGUUGUUCGGAAUUACUGGGCGUAAAGCGCGUGUAGGCGGCCCUGCAAGUCGGAUGUGAAAUCCCACGGCUCAACCGUGGAAGUGCAUUCGAAACUGCAGGGCUAGAGUCCUGGAGAGGAAGGUGGAAUGCUUGGUGUAGAGGUGAAAUUCGUAGAUAUCAAGCGGAACACCGGUGGCGAAGGCGGCCUUCUGGACAGUGACUGACGCUGAGACGCGAAAGCGUGGGGAGCAAACAGGGAUUAAGAAACCCCGGUGAGCC
rnacentral:rRNA from 1 species